rnacentral:rRNA from 1 species
UACGUAGGGGGCAAGCGUUGUCCGGAGUUACUGGGCGUAAAGCGCACGCAGGCGGUCGCGUAAGAGUGCGGGGACAGUGGGGCGGCUUAACUGCCCAAGGGUCGCACAGACUGCGUGACUGGAGGGCCAGAGAGGGACCUGGAAUUCCGGGUGGAGCGGUGAAAUGCGUAGAGAUCCGGAGGAACACCAAUGGCGAAGGCAGGGUCCUGGCUGGCACCUGACGCUCAUGUGCGAAAGCCAGGGGAGCGAACGGG